UACAGAGGUCCCAAGCGUUGUUCGGAUUCACUGGGCGUAAAGGGUGCGUAGGCGGUCGGGUAAGUCUGAUGUGAAAUCUCCAAGCUCAACUUGGAAAUGGCAUCGGAUACUAUUCGGCUCGAGGAAUGGAGGGGAGACUGGAAUACUUGGUGUAGCAGUGAAAUGCGUAGAUAUCAAGUGGAACACCAGUGGCGAAGGCGAGUCUCUGGACAUUUCCUGACGCUGAGGCACGAAAGCCAGGGGAGCGAACGGG
rnacentral:rRNA from 1 species